AUUGAACGCUGGCGGCAUGCCUUACACAUGCAAGUCGAACGGCAGCACGGGAGCAAUCCUGGUGGCGAGUGGCGAACGGGUGAGUAAUACAUCGGAACGUGCCCAGUAGUGGGGGACAGCCCGGCGAAAGCCGGAUUAAUACCGCAUACGACCUGAGGGUGAAAGCGGGGGAUCGCAAGACCUCGCGCUAUUGGAGCGGCCGAUGUCGGAUUAGCUAGUUGGUGGGGUAAAGGCUCACCAAGGCAACGAUCCGUAGCUGGUCUGAGAGGACGACAAGCCACACGGGGACUGAGACACGGCCCAGACUCCGACGGGAGGCAGCAGUGGGGAAUUUUGGACAAUGGGCGCAAGCCUGAUCCAGCCAUGCCGCGUGCGGGAAGAAGGCCUUCGGGUUGUAAACCGCUUUUGUCAGGGAAGAAACGCGCUGGGUUAAUACCUUGGCGUAAUGACGGUACCUGAAGAAUAAGCACCGGCUAACUACGUGCCAGCCGCCGCGGUAAUAC
rnacentral:rRNA from 1 species